rnacentral:rRNA from 1 species
GACGAACGCUGGCGGCGUACUUAACACAUGCAAGUCGAACGGAAAGGCCCUGCUUUUGUGGGGUGCUCGAGUGGCGAACGGGUGAGUAACACGUGAGUAACCUGCCCUUGACUUUGGGAUAACUUCAGGAAACUGGGGCUAAUACCGGAUAGGAGCUCCUGCUGCAUGGUGGGGGUUGGAAAGUUUCGGCGGUUGGGGAUGGACUCGCGGCUUAUCAGCUUGUUGGUGGGGUAAUGGCUUACCAAGGCUUUGACGGGUAGCCGGCCUGAGAGGGUGACCGGCCACAUUGGGACUGAGAUACGGCCCAGACUCCUACGGGAGGCAGCAGUGGGGAAUAUUGCACAAUGGGCGGAAGCCUGAUGCAGCAACGCCGCGUGCGGGAUGACGGCCUUCGGGUUGUAAACCGCUUUCGCCUGUGACGAAGCGUGAGUGACGGUAAUGGGUAAAGAAGCACCGGCUAACUACGUG